rnacentral:rRNA from 1 species
GGUGUAAAUCCUUUCGGCAGGGACGAAACCCGAGCAAUCGGGCCGACGGUACCUGAAGAAGAAGCCCGGCUAACUCCGUGC